UACGUAGGGGGCAAGCGUUGUCCGGAAUCAUUGGGCGUAAAGCGCGUGUAGGCGGCCCGGAAAGUCUGGUGUGAAAUCUUGAGGCUCAACCUCAAGCUGUCACUGGAUACUGUCGGGCUCGAGUCCGGAAGAGGAGAGUGGAAUUCCUGGUGUAGCGGUGAAAUGCGUAGAUAUCUGGAGGAACACCGGUGGCGAAGGCGGCAUCCUGGACCAUAACUGACGCUGAUCCGCGAAAGCUAGGGGAGCAAACGGG
rnacentral:rRNA from 1 species